AGAACGAACGCUGGCGGCAGGCUUAACACAUGCAAGUCGAACGCGUGUAGCAAUACACGAGUGGCGCACGGGUGAGUAACGCGUGGAUAUCUGCCUUUUGGUUCGGAAUAACCCCCGGGAAACUGGGGCUAAAUACCGGAUGGUUCCUACGGGAUAAAGAUUUAUCGCCAAAAAGAUGAGUCCGCGUCCGAUUAGCUAGUUGGUGGGGUAAAGGCCUACCAAGGCGACGAUCGUUAGCUGGUCUGAGAGGAUGAUCAGCCACAUUGGGACUGAGACACGGCCCAAACUCCUACGGGAGGCAGCAGUGGGGAAUAUUGGACAAUGGGCGCAAGCCUGAUCCAGCAAUGCCGCGUGUGUGAAGAAGGUCUUCGGAUUGUAAAGCACUUUCGACGGGACGAUGAUGACGGUACCCGUAGAAGAAGCCCCGGCUAACUUCGUGCCAGCAGCCGC
rnacentral:rRNA from 1 species